ensembl:antisense Tspan32os tetraspanin 32, opposite strand
AUGUUCCUGGAAACACAGAGGUUUCCCCAUCACCCAUCAAUGAUUAUUUUUGUUCUUCAUGGAAAAUCCACCAGUGACUGGCAGAUGGAACCCAGGGCUUCUGCAUACAUUAGGCAAGCACCCUGCCACCAAACUAGAAGGGGAAUGGAUAAGGACACAGGACCUCCCAUCUCUGUGGGGGUGUGGACGUGCAUCUGGCUAUGCAGUGUGGACGUGCAUCUGGCUAUGCAGUGUGGACGUGCAUCUGGCUAUGCAGUGUGGACGUGCAUCUGGCUAUGCAGUCCCAGCUGUCUGUCAGACUACAGCAGAAGCCCGAGAUCAUCAGAGACCCCAUCCAGUCCCCAGCAACCUGUACAGACACUCUGUGCCCUGUGGUAAAGCACACAGUUGAAUUGUUC